rnacentral:rRNA from 1 species
CAGCAGGCGCGAAAACUUUACCAUGCGGGAAACCGUGAUAAGGGAACUCCGAGUGCCCGUAAAAUCGGGCUGUCCAUCUGUUUAAAUAACAGGUGAAGAAAGGGCCGGGCAAGACCGGUGCCAGCCGCCGCGGUAAUACCGGCGGCUCGAGUGGUGGCCACUAUUACUGGGCUUAAAGCGUUCGUAGCUGGUCUGUUAAGUCUCUGGGGAAAUCUACUGGCUUAACCAAUAGGCGCUUCAGGGAUACUGGCAGACUAGGGACCGGGAGAGGUGAGGGGUACUCCAGGGGUAGGAGUGAAAUCCUGUAAUCCUUGGGGGACCACCUGUGGCGAAGGCGCCUCACCAGAACGGCUCCGACAGUGAGGGACGAAAGCUGGGGGAGCAAACCGGAUUAGAUGCCCGGGUAGUCCCAGCCGUAAACGAUGCGCGUUAGGUGUAUCGAUGACCACGAGUCACCGAGGUGCCGAAGAGAAAUCGUGAAACGUGCCGCCUGGGAAGUACGGUCGCAAGGCUGAAACUUAAAGGAAUUGGCGGGGGAGCAC